rnacentral:rRNA from 1 species
UGGGGAAUAUUGGACAAUGGGCGAAAGCCUGAUCCAGCCAUGCCGCGUGUGUGAAGAAGGUCUUCGGAUUGUAAAGCACUUUAAGUUGGGAGGAAGGGCAUUAACCUAAUACGUUAGUGUUUUGACGUUACCGACAGAAUAAGCACCGGCUAACUCUGUGCCAGCAGCCGCGGUAAUACAGAGGGUGCAAGCGUUAAUCGGAAUUACUGGGCGUAAAGCGCGCGUAGGUAGUUUGUUAAGUUGUAUGUGAAAUCCCCGGGCUCAACCUGGGAACUGCAUUCAAAACUGACUGACUAGAGUAUGGUAGAGGGUGGUGGAAUUUCCUGUGUAGCGGUGAAAUGCGUAGAUAUAGGAAGGAACACCAGUGGCGAAGGCGACCACCUGGACUAAUACUGACACUGAGGUGCGAAAGCGUGGGGAGCAAACA